rnacentral:lncRNA from 1 species
GCCCAGGCUGAGCACGAUGCCCCCUCAAAAGGGAGGUGAUGGAAUUAAACCACCCCCAAUCAUUGGAAGAUUUGGAACCUCACUGAAAAUUGGUAUUGUUGGAUUGCCAAAUGUUGGGAAAUCUACUUUCUUCAAUGUAUUAACCAAUAGUCAGGCUUCAGCAGAAAACUUCCCAUUCUGCACUAUUGAUCCUAAUGAGAGCAGAGUACCUGUGCCAGAUGAAAGGUUUGACUUUCUUUGCCAAUAUCACAAACCAGCAAGCAAAAUUCCUGCCUUUCUAAAUGUAGUGGAUAUUGCUGGCCUUGUGAAAGGAGCUCACAAUGGGCAGGGCCUGGGGAAUGCUUUUUUAUCUCAUUUUAGUGCUUGUGAUGGCAUCUUUCAUCUAACACGUGCUUUUGAAGAUGAUGAUAUCACACAUGUUGAAGAAAGUGUAGAUCCUAUUCGAGAUAUAGAAAUAAUACAUGAAGAGCUUCAGCUUAAAGAUGAGGAAUGACUGGGCCCAUUAUAGAUAAACUAGAAAAGGUGGCUGUGAGAGGAGGAGAUAAAAAACUAAAACCCAAAUAUGAUAUAAUGUGCAAAGUAAAAUCCUGGGUUAUAGAUCAAAAGAACCUGUUCGCUUCUAUCAUGAUUGGAAUGACAAAGAGAUUGAAGUGUUGAAUAAACACUUAUUUUUGACUUCAAAACCAAUGGUCUACUUGGUUAAUCUUUCUGAAAAAGACUACAUUAGAAAGAAAAACAAAUGUGGGGCCUUGGAACUCAAGUUGCAAGAAUUGAGUGCUGAGGAGAGACAGCAGUAUCUGGAAGCGAACAUGACACAAAGUGCUUUGCCAAAGAUCAUUAAGGCUGGGUUUGCAGCACUCCAACUAAAAUACUUUUUCACUGCAGGCCCAGAUGAAGUGCGUGCACGGACCAUCAGGAAAGGGACUAAGGCUCCUCAGGCUGCAGGAAAGAUUCACACAGAUUUUGAAAAGGGAUUCAUUAUGGCUGAAGUAAUGAAAUAUGAAGAUUUUAAAGAGGAAGGUUCUGAAAAUGCAGUCAAGGCUGCUGGAAAGUACAGACAAC